GACGAACGCUGGCGGCGUGCUUAACACAUGCAAGUCGAGCGGAAAGGCCACUUCGGUGGUACUCGAGCGGCGAACGGGUGCGUAACACGUGAGUAAUCUGCCCUUGGCUUUGGGAUAGCCACCGGAAACGGUGAUUAAUACCGGAUACGAUCACUUCUCGCAUGGCAGGGUGGUGGAAAGCUGUUCGGCCAGGGAUGUGCUCGCGCCCUAUCAGCUUGAUGGUGAGGUAAUGGCUCACCAUGGCUUCGACGGGUAGCGGGCCUGAGAGGGUGACCGGUCACACGGGGACUGAGACACGUCCCAGACUCCUACGGGAGGCAGCAGUGGGUAAUAUUGGACAAUGGGCGGAAGCCUGAUCCAGCAACGCCGCGUGAGGGAUGACGGCCUUCGGGUUGUAAACCUCUUUCGGUGGGGACGAAGCGCAAGUGACGGUACCCACUAAAGAAGCACCGGCCAACUACGUGCCAGCCGCCGCCGUAA
rnacentral:rRNA from 1 species